rnacentral:tRNA from 1 species
AUUCUUUUAGUAUUAACAAGUACAACUGACUUCCAAUCAGUUAGUUUUGGUCCAACCCAAAAAAGAAUA